CAAGUCUUGACAUCGGAAUGACCGUCUCGUAACGGAGACUUCCCUUCGGGGCAUUCCAGACAGGUGGUGCAUGGUUGUCGUCAGCUCGUGUCGUGAGAUGUUGGGUUAAGUCCCGCAACGAGCGCAACCCUUAUCCUUAGUAGCCAGCAGUUCGGCUGGGCACUCUGGGGAGACUGCCAGGGAUAACCUGGAGGAAGGUGGGGAUGACGUCAAAUCAUCAUGCCCCUUAUGAUUUGGGCUACACACGUGCUACAAUGGCGUAAACAAAGGGAAGCAAAGGAGCGAUCUGGAGCAAAUCCCAAAAAUAACGUCUCAGUUCGGAUUGUAGUCUGCAACUCGACUACAUGAAGCUGGAAUCGCUAGUAAUCGCAGAUCAGAAUGCUGCGGUGAAUACGUUCCC
rnacentral:rRNA from 1 species